CUCGUGUUCACUCUUCAGGGUCUGCAUCCGGGCGUUCGGACUUCGGGGUCUUGCCUCUGCGCCCCCAGACUUGUGAGAGGUUUUGUGCAGACCCGGACGGGGAUGGGACCACGUGCUGAUCUGCGCACCUGCCUUUUGCCUUCUUCUAGUUCUUCAAGGUCCUCAGUCACGCGUGGUGGAGGCGCUGGCCGGGCGCUGGGGCUGUGUGGGGCUCGUUCCCAGGCGCGGCGGCGAGGAGACGGAAUGGAGAUGAAGAGUGCUUGUCUGGUAUUCUAUUCAACGGAGCCAAAGUCAUUUUGAAAGAGAGUAUGUUUGCAAAGAUGGAGAUUCCAGCAAAAUUAAGCUUGGUCCCCUGCGUGGUUUCCGCAGCUCUCCGUGUGGAGGAAGCCGGCUGGAGUGCCCGUGACGCUCUCUCCCAAGCUGUCGGGGUUUCUCCUCUCCAGUGGUGGAUGGCCUUCUGGGUGUCCAGUGAGACUCAGAUGUCUGUCGUCCAUGGGAAUGAAGACGGCCUUUUCUGGCUGAACGCGGCCUGUCUCACUACUCGUCCCGUUCCAUUUCUCCACGUCACACCAGAAUCAGAUGGUGAUUUUUUCCCCAUCUGUUGCCACAAUCUGUUCAAACUGUCACAUUCCGAGAGCCCCCGGGAAGCUGCGUAGCCCAGAACGGGAAAUGAAGGUGCUCCUGCCCCACUUCCUGCGGGUCUGGUCCUCGGCGCGGCGGUGGGGUGCAGUGGGCGCUCGGCCUCUCACGCCGCGCAGCAGAGUCGCUCUGUCUCGGAUGCCCGUGGUGAGUGACGCAGCAGCGACCGGACUGGGCCGGGGUUCAAUCCUGAAACCUCAAAAUAGUCUCCCUCUAAUACAGGAAUAUUUAGUAAAGA